rnacentral:rRNA from 1 species
CACGUAGGGCGCGAGCGUUGUCCGGAAUUAUUGGGCGUAAAGAGCUCGUAGGCGGCCUGUUGCGUCCGCUGUGAAAGCCCGGGGCUUAACCCCGGGUCGGCAGUGGAUACGGGCAGGCUAGAGGUAGGUAGGGGAGAAUGGAAUUCCCGGUGUAGCGGUGAAAUGCGCAGAUAUCGGGAGGAACACCGGUGGCGAAGGCGGUUCUCGGGGCCUUACCUGACGCUGAGGAGCGAAAGCGUGGGGAGCGAACAGG